AAUAAGCUAUUUAAGAGCGUAAGGUGGAUGCCUUGGCUCUCAGAGGCGAUGAAGGACGUGAUAAGCUGCGAUAAGCUGCGGGGAUUGGCACACACAAUUUGAUCCGUAGAUUUCCGAAUGGGGCAACCCACUAUAUUGAAGAUAUAGUAUCCGUUAAGGAAGCAAACCCAGGGAACUGAAACAUCUAAGUACCUGGAGGAAUAGAAAACAAAAGUGAUUCCGCUAGUAGUGGCGAGCGAACGCGGAACAGCCCAAACCAAAAUUGUUUCGGCAAUUUUGGGGUUGUA
rnacentral:rRNA from 1 species